rnacentral:lncRNA from 1 species
UGCCCUAGGUCAGCCCCACGCCUCCUCUUAAAUAGCAUGUGGAGCUCCUACUUUGUCGGAGCUCCUUGAUUAAAUUCCAAGAGGGGCGCCGACCCCUCUUCUUUGCCGCACCAAGCAAGGAAAAGGAGGAGGGGCAUGUGCCCCUCCUUCAUGGUUAACCUAAUCCUCCUCUAAGGAGGAUUAGAAAGGUCACUCUUGGUUAGGUCCUAAUCUAAUUAGGUUUGGACCAAGGGUGAACCAAUUUGGGUUUUAAUCUAGGUAAGUCCUAAUCCAAUUAGAACUUGAUGAGCCAUGACUCAAUUGAACCCUUCAAUCCUAAUCUAAUUAGGAGUCAUCUUGAUUCAUUAGAUUAAUAAUUAAUUG